CUCUGCCUGGCUGCCCAGUCUGGAAAGUGAGGAGCAUCUCUGCCCGGCUGCCAUUCCAUCUGGGAAGUGAGGAGCGCCUCUUCCCGGCCGCCAUCACAUCUAGGAAGUGAGGAGCGUCUCUGCCCGGCCGCCCAUCAUCUGGGAUGUGGGGAGCGCCUCUGCCCCGCCGCCCUGUCUGGGAUGUGAGGAGCGCCUCUGCCCGGCCGCCACCCCGUCUGGGAGGUGAGGAGCGUCUCUGCCCGGCCGCCCCGUCUGAGAAGUGAGGAGACCCUCCGCCCGGCAGCCGCCCCGUCUGAGAAGUGAGGAGCGUCUCCGCCCGGCAGCCACCCCGUCCGGGAGGGAGGUGGGGGGGUCAGCCCCCCGCCCGGCCAGCCGCCCCAUCCGGGAGGUGAGGGGUGCCUCUGCCCGGCCGCCCCUACUGGGAAGUGAGGAGCCCCUCUGCCCGGCCACCACCCCAUCUGGGAGGUGUGCCCAACAGCUCAUUGAGAACGGGCCAGGAUGACAAUGGUGGCUUUGUGGAAUAGAAAGGGAGGAAAGGUGGGGAAAAGAUUGAGAAAUCGGAUGGUUGCCGUGUCUGUGUAGAAAGAGGUAGACAUGGGAGACUUUUCAUUUUGUUCUGUACUAAGAAAAAUUCUUCUGCCUUGGGAUCCUGUUGAUCUGUGACCUUACCCCCAACCCUGUGCUCUCUGAAACAUGUGCUGUGUCCACUCAGAGUUAAAUGGAUUAAGGGCGGUGCAAGAUGUGCUUUGUUAAACAGAUGCUUGAAGGCAGCAUGCUCAUUAAGAGUCAUCACCACUCCCUAAUCUCAAGUACCCAGGGACCCAAACGCUGCGGAAGGCCGCAGGGUCCUCUGCCUAGGAAAACCAGAGACCUUUGUUCACUUGUUUAUCUGCUGACCUUCCCUCCACUAUUGUCCU
rnacentral:lncRNA from 1 species